UCCCUUUGUUGUUCCAUGUCAUCCUCUUUAACUUGGGCACUUAAAGCACGCCUAGCCACAAGUGACUCACCCUCCAUUGGAUACUCUACAUUAUCAUCACAAGCAUCCUCCAGUGAUGGCAUCUGGUCAUCAUCUUCCUCACUUUCAGUUUCCACCUCUCCAUCAACACGUGCGAUCAUGGUUCUCUUAUUUGGGCAUUUUGAAGUUAUAUGACCUACUCCCAAACAACGAAAACACUUAAUAUCAUGAUUACGAGUUUGGGAUUCAUUUUUACCUUUGUUGACAUUGGGAGCUUCAUCUCUCCUUUUUGGUGGUUCGGUUUUGGACUUAAAAACAACCCCUUCAUCUUUCCUCCCAUUUGGCUUCCAUGAAGCAGAGAAGCUAGGAUUUUGAAAUGACCGAGUUCCUUUCCUUUUAAGCUGUUGUUCCACCUUUAUUGCCAUGUGCACCAUGUCCUCCAACUCCACAUAGUGUUGUAACUCCACCACGUUGGGAAUGUCCCGAUUCAACCCAUUCAAAAACCUUGCCAUAGUAGCUUCUCUAUCCUCCUCUACAUUAGCCCGAAUUAUGGCAAUCUCCAUCUCCUUGUGAUAGUCAUCCACGCUCCUAUAGCCUUGAGUAAGACUAUAAUUUCUGAUACAAGUCCCUAUAGUAGUGACUAGGGAUAAACCGCCUCCUCAUGGUGGCUUUCAUUUCCUCCCAUGUCUCAAUAGACCUAUCAUAGUUUCUUCUUCUGUUCAUCACAGGUUGAUCCCACCAUAUAAUAGCAUAGUCAGUAAACUCAAUCGCAACUAGUUUUACCUUUUUCUCCUCGGAGUAGUUAUGGCACUCAAAGAUGAACUCCACCUUCUUCUUCCACUCCAAGUACACUUCUGGAUCAUUUUUCCCUUGGAAUGAUGGUAUCUUCAUUUUGAUGUUUCCUAGGUUUCUAUAAGUCCCAUCUUGCCAUCUUGGAGCUCUUCGGAAACCUCUACCACGCCUUUCUCCCCUUGGCGCAAACCUGUCCUCAUGGUUCAAUGAAGCUUGAUCCUCUCAUCUUCAAACCCAUCCUCAUGGUAGUCAUUAGAAUCAUCAACGUGCGCACGCUUUCCUUGCCUUCUAGCAUUAGGGGCUCUUUGGGUACGCUCCUCACGCAAAGAAGUGAUAACAGUGUCUUGCCUAUCCAUCUGAUCCUAAAUAUCAUUAAACACCACAUUCAUGCAUUCAAAUUGUUGUUGCAUAACCUGCAACAUGAGGGAUGACUCCUCCCCUCCUUCCUUAUUUGAUGUUUCGCCCUUGGAAGACAUAUUUUUGAAACUACAAAAAAAUGUUAGAAAUGAUUCCUCACAACACUCCCUCACGUGUUUGCACUCACACUCGUGUUUCACUCUUAAAUUGGCCUUUUCCAGAUAUUAGUCUCACACUCUCUUGCCUUUUUCCACUCGUAGUUUCCCCUUUUCAGUUCUACUUAAACUAAUAAACUUGAUCAAGAAAUUCAACUUGUAGUAUUUAAACUAAUGCCAAUGGCAAGAAAAUAUGACAGAAACAUUAAAUCAAAGGAAGAUGACAAAAGAAAAUAAUAUUUUGAUUUGAGAGAAUUGAAACUACACAAUUAUUUUUUAUUUUUUUAUUUUUGUUGUUUUCUAUUUCAUUUUUAAAGUUUUUUUUUUUUUUUUUUGGAGCUUGGUACACGAUUUUAACCUAGUGCACAUCAAAAAAAUAAGAACAAGGAAUAAAGAACACAAAAAGAAUAAGAUAGGAUGAUAAUAGGAAACAAAAGAUAAAUGGAUAGAAAAUUGAUUUUAGAUCCUGUGCUCUGAUACCAAAUGAUGCGAACCUCAAUCGACAUGCUUUGAGAUCCAACAAACAGUAUUGGAAUAAUUGCCCAAGAAAGCCAAAAUACAGAUUUUUGAUAGAACCUUGACCCAACGUUUAUAAGUGAAACGCGAACAAAAAGUAUAAGUAACAGACCUUGACCCAAUGAUUACAAUGGAAUUAUGAACCGAAGGUAUAAAGUUUGAAUGCCACAAGGAAUAAUCCUUAAUAAGUUCACAAUUCUUGAAGAACCAAAAGAAGAGCAAAGCCUCACCUUUUCUGAUUUUUUAUUCAAUCAAAAUUCUUCCAUAUUACAAAGAGUGCAUGCUAUUUAUAUGUCAUGACAAAAAAACUUACUAAAUAUUAAAACCCUAAAUAAAAGUUGAUUUGGUCUGAAAUUAGCAGAUCCAAAAUAGGAAAAUAGCUAAAAAAACGUUCUAAAUAAUAAAAGCCUAAAAUUAAGAUAGAUUUGGCCUGAAAUUAGAAGCUCUAGAAUAGGAAAAAUGUCUAUUAACUGAUAUGGAGUUGGAAAGUCAAUCAGUCAUUAAUCCACGCCAUAAAUCACGUCCAAUCAAGCCAGAUUAGCCCUCAAUAGCUUGGAUUAAAUUUAUUACACCUUCAUCUUCCUUUGGGCCAAGCUUGGAAUAUCCUACGUUAGAAUAAGCCCUAAUAUCUUGAAUUAGCCCAUUAAGUGCUACUUUGAUCUUCUUGGAUAUUGCUUUAGUAAUAGGCUCAACUGGAACAUGUAGUGGAUCCUUAAAUGCUUGUUGAUUCUCAUCAUUGAUUCUUAUAAUUCUCUCAGACAACUAUGUCCGUUCUAGCUGGUGUUUAGAUGAACUGGUCAAGAUCAUGAAGUGCAGGAAAGAAAUGGGAAAAAUUGUUUUCCCAGUUUUCCAUCAUGUUGAUCCUUCCCAUGUGCGAACUCAGAGGGGUAGUUACGGACGAUGGAUGGUCGAUCAUGAAAGAAAAGGUUUUGACGAGAAGAUACAAAGGUGGAGAGCAGCUUUGAGGGAAGUGGGCUAUAUUUCUGGAUGGCAUGUACAACUUGUUCCACAUAAUCUCUUACAAGUAUCCUCAAUUUUUUUAUACAUAUUGAUAAAAUAGAAAUCUAUUAAAAGUUAUAAUUGGCAUAUGCAUCUUAUCCUAAAAAGUCAAAAUGUUAUGUCUCCUUUCAAUCAGAUUUGUCAUGUGGGAAUUUGAAAUGGUUCUUCCCAAUUAAGUGACCAUUUAAUUUACAAAUUUAGGGCCUUUACAUCAUAAUAAUAAAGCAACCUAGCAAACUAAAGUUGUUAUAUAAUGAUAUCAAGUAUUGGAAACCGAAAUAGUAAGUAGUGCAUUUUCAUCAAUUAAAAUAGAAAAAAAAUCAUACAUUUUCUUAACCAUUUCUCCAAAUAUAUUAUGGGAAAAAUAAUGGUUAGGAAUGUGACCAAUUGAAAUAUAAAAGACAAAUAUGAUGUUUUUUAUCAUAAAAGAUUCGAUUUGGAGGAGCUUUUUCUAUAAAUGAUAUAGCAUUACUCUUUCAAAAUAUGAGUUGCAUAUAAAGGUAUUAAGACUUGAAGUCAUACGGAUGAGACUCAAGAUGGAAGGCAAAAGUUUCUUAAUGAGACUUUAAUAUUUGAUACUUUUAAAAUGUCAUCUAUCCUUUUGUUUUAUUCAAAAUAGUCUUCCAAACUUUAUCUUUAUCCUUGAAUUGUGAAAAAGAGACUCAUUGUUUAAUUUGUUCACAAAAAAAAAAAAAAAAAAAAAAAAAACCUAUAGAUUUCCAUUUUGUUGUAGAGGAAUGGAGAUUUUUGUGUUUAUAUAUGAAAAUGAUGAUGUUAUAUUUGGAAUUGUACAUGUGAUUAAGACACAUUGCUUUUACUGCUAUGGUAAUCUUUGAUAAUUGUCAAAAGUAAGAUUUCAUUGUAAUAAACUUUAUGAAAGGUAAUAAGUUGAUUUUAGUAAAAUAAUAUCUUUUUUCUUCACCAUUUAUUUCUUUCUUAGGAUCUUAUACACCAUAUAAUUGCACACUUUCCAACGAUUUAUUGUCUUCAACAUUGUCUCAUUUCAAGGUUUACAUUGCUUUGAUUAAAAUUAAUUGUUUCAAAUCCAAAAUAAUGUUGUCUUCUUUUCCUUCUACUAAAAUUUAGUUAAUUUCUUGUUUCUUUCCAUUCUUUUAUUAGGUUAAUAUUUUGGUACGUAUUUGCAAACAACUAUUCUUGAUUUCCUUUUUUUUUUUUUGAAGUGUUUUGAGCUAGAUCAAAUACCAUUUUAGGACUGGCCCUAAUUGAAAAGAAGCUUAUGAAAAUAAUUGUGUAAAAUUUCAAAUAAAGGCCAACAUCAUCUAAGAAGGGAGGUGAGUAAUCUUCCAAUAUGAAUGGAGGUGGGAAAGAUGAAAUAAUGUUAUCUUCAAUUGUGAUGAAAACAUUUAAAGACAAUUUAUUUGUUACCGAAACUAUAUGUCAAUAUUUCCUCCCUAAAUGUAAGUGGAAAUAUUUGGAGAUAAAAUUAUUUCAUUGCAGAAACUCUAUGUCAACAUGAUGGAGAUGAAAAUAUUUCAUCUCCUAAUGUAUAAAGUAACAUUUAAAGAUGAAAUAAUUUCGUUGCCCAAUGAAAUUUUGUGUCACCAAAUGGUUUACUAGAUAUUUGAAAAUCUAAUUCCCAACAAAACAUUUUACUUUAUGCCACAAAAAACACUUGCUGGCAAAUAGUUUUGGCCAUGAGAUUUCAUUUCAUCAUUAAUAUGUUUUCCUAAUGAAAUGUAAUUAUUUGUCUCUAAAACUAUAGGGUGACACAAUUGUGGAGACAAUUGCCGAGAAGAAAUUUUUUGUUAGGAAAGCCUUUUAGCCGCGAAAGAAAUAUUGUUGGAAAUAAAACAUUUCAUCCUCGAUCAUGUAAUUUGUUGUAGUGUGAAUUUUUGAAAUUUUUGAAUAGAUGUAAAAAAUUUCAUUGGUAUAGAUGCGUACCUAAGAAUGACAAUGAGGUUGAUUUUUUUUAGAAACCCAUCUUUCCCUCAUACUAAGUUCAAGACAGGUUGGAAUAUGAUUUUGUCUUGUCUCCCCCCAUUUAAUAUAAAUAAAUGACACAAGAUUGAAAUGGAGGUGAUCCUUCCCAGACUCAUCCGUUGCCACCCUUAAUGUGUUAUCUAAAAGUUCCAUUUCCAAGGGUCUUUUCUACCUUUCCUUUAGAUGGGAAUAAUGUGUAAUAUAUUCCCUAUUGCUAUGGUUGAGUGUGAACUAAUAAACUUGGAGCCUCUUCCUAUGCUAUCUUUAUACUAUAAUAGCUACAUACUUCAGUCAAAGUCCACGAGACAUUCAUGAUAGAUUAUCAAAAGAUAUAUGUCUAUGCACUAAUGGAUAUGCACAACUAUGCUAUAAUAUAUGACAUGGAACAAUAGAUUAUUUUCAUUUUUAUUUUAGUAAACUUAACUUAAUUUUUUAAAAUUAUCAUAUUGAUAUAUUUAAACUCACUAAUUUUUCUUAGUAUUUAUCUUCAUAAACUUAAAUUUGUUCAACAUUAAUAUUAAAAAGUACUAUUAUGAAGCUACAAAAUAACUUCAAAAUAUUUACUAAAAAGAAAAAAAGAAUUGUGAACAUAGAGUCACUGAAAUAAAAGUGAUUAUCACCAAAUAUAAACAAACAGAAUAAAAAAAAAUAGAAUUUAGAAUAAGUUAAUUAUUUUGAUUUGAUAUUUAAAUUCAUUUUUUAAUUCUAAAUGAUGAUAAAUAAUUAUUUUAUCUAACACUAAGUUAAUUUAUCAGACACGUACCCUAACUAUGACUCAUGAUUGUCAUUGUCAUUCUCAUGCGGAGGUCAUAUUAAUUUAUGCAUCAUUUGAAUAAUUUUCUUUCAUAUGUUAAGCGAGAACAAAAAUAUCAAUUUUUACCGAUAUAUCGUUAAUUGGAGUUUAUAGCUAUAUCAGGAAACAUCAUAUAUAUAUAUAAUGUUGGAAAUAAUUCAAAAAAUGAUAGAAAAAAUAAUAAUGUAUAUAAUGAAAUUGUUUUAAGAGAAAAAUGAUAUGUGUAUAAUAAAUUGUAAUCUUAGACAAUAAUAUACAAAAUUGUAAAACAUUAAUGCUAAAAUGAUAAAGCAUUAAGUUUAUAUAUAUUAAAGGAUAUAAAAAUUUUUUUGAUAUAUAUUUAUAUUUUUUAUUUAAAAAUAUUAAUAAUUUUAUUUAUAAAUUUAUGUUUGUCUUAUAUUUAAUCACUAUAUAAAAGAUAUAAUAAGAUAAUUAAAAUUAAUUUAUUUUAAUUAAUUUAUAAUUACUAAUAUACAAAAGAUAUUGUACAAGGCCCACACUCAAAUCUUGAUAUUGUGUGUUUUUUUAAUAACUUUAAGAAAGGAAAUCCACAUUAUAAAGGGAAAACAAAAUAAUAAAUAAUGUAUUGCUAUGUGACAUCACUAUUAUAAGGUUGUUGUGCUUCACUUUGGCAGGUUAUGCAUGGGCUAUCUUUGGCUGAUCAAAGGUCCACCACCAUGAUUAAUUUUUUAAAAAAAACUUAGGUAUUUUAAAAUAUUUAAUUUAUAUUAAUGAAAAAAAUAAUAAUUUAUUAAUUUUUUAUUUAUUGAACUGAUUUCGUAUUGUUUGAACCAAGGAUUGGAUUGAUGGAGCUAGACGGUUAUUCAAGAAUCAAAUUGUUAACGACCUUUUCAUUUUGGGCAAAAUGGGCUAGAGUGCCUAUCAUUUGCAACCUAGCAUUCAACACCCUCUUUUUUAUUUUGCAAAAUGGGACAUUGCCCAUGGGUUUCACCAUUGUUUGCUUUACAAUGAAUGAAUGAGAUUUAUAAUGCUCUUUCUUAUCUCCUUUUAUUUCCUAUAUGGGAUCAUUGUAGUGGCUAAUUUAAAGAAAAAUAAGCUUGGACGAUAGGUUCAAGGUAAAAUGGUUGGACCACUUUGUUACUCUUUUGUUGAUGUUUAAAAUUAUAAAAAAUAAAUAAAUUACAUAUGUUAUUUAAAAAAUGAAUAUAAGUAAACAUAUAUAUAAGAUUAUUGUGAUAUAGUACAAUUUUUCUUUCAUUUUCAAUGUAUUUUUAUAUUGAAAUAUUAUAGAUGUUUUGUUUCAUCAAUUUGAAGAUGGUAUCAGAGUUAGGGAACUGAAAUCUUGGAUAUUUUAUCGGUAAGGCUAGCCAUCGCCCCUCAUUCGCGAUAAAAAAAAAAAAAAUUUGAGUGAAAAAAAUACUGUUGUUUUUCAAUCUGAAGGUACUUUUAAUCCAGGAAUUAAUUUGAUUGAAUUAAACUAUGACAUUUGGUCACAACUCGUGGAGAUGCAUAUUGCCAAACGGGAAAAACUUUCCUACAUUCGAGGUAAGAUAAAUCCACCAAAAGAGUCAGAAGAUGGAUAUGAAAAAUGGUAUGCUGAGAAUCAAAAGGUGAAAAGAUGGUUGUUAAUGUCCAUGAGUCCAGAAAUUAUGAAGCGUUACUUACGCUUACCCACCGUUCAAGAAAUUUGGAGUGCAUUAUCAAAGGUCUUCCAUGAUGGAAGUGAUGAAUUACAAGUUUUCACUUUGAAUAAAAAAGCCUUCACUGCCAAACAAAGCAGCAGGUCUCUUUCUGAAUAUUAUGGAGAGUUAACUAAAAUUUUUUGCGAAUUAGAUCAUCGGGAUAAGGUAGUCAUGAAAGACCUUGAGGACAUUGCAGCACACCGGAAAUCCAUUGAACGACAACGGGUGCACAUUUUUCUUGCUGGAUUGGAUGGUGACUUUGAGCAAGUUCGAGGAAAGAUUCUACGCAAAGAUCCUCUUCCUGAUUUGGAAGAAUGCUAUGCACUGAUUUGACGAGAGGCAGUCUGUCAUGCUAAUAUGAAAGCAGAAUCUAACAACCCUGACACCUUAGCUAUGGUAGUCCGACAACGAUCAACCCAGAAUUGGAAGGACCAAUCCAAGACCAACCAUCCUAAGACAGACCCUAAUAUUGAUGAGUCAACCUUCAAAUGCACUCGCUGCAAUAAGACUGGUCAUACCAAGAGUUGUUGCUUUAAAAUUGUGGGAUAUCCAGACUGGUGGGAUCAUAAUCGUGAUCAAUGGAAAAAAGAUUCCAAGAAAACCUCAACUGCAGCUGUUGCCGAAAUAAAAACAGAGGCUAAUGUCACUGAGAAAGCCUCUGCAUUGGUAACCGCUACAGAUUAUGGUAGUAAGUUUUAAAAUACUUCAACACCUGUUAUUAAUAGUGCAUGGAUAAUUGAUUCUAGUGCUAUAGAUCAUAUGACUUUUGAUUCUAGAUAGGUCUCACCCCUUAAACCUUCCUCACAAAAAAUUGUUUCCACAACCAAUGGUAACACAACCCCAGUCAUUGGGAAAGGAUCCUUAACUCUUACUGAUACUUUGAAUUUGGAUUAUGUUUUAGUUGUUCCAUCUUUAGAUUACAAUCUUUUGUUAGUUUUUCAAAUCACUGCAGUUUUAUCUUGUAUUGUCAUUUUUUGGCUUGAAUUUUGUGUUUUUAAGGACAUCCAAACAAGACAGACGAUUGGUUGUAGUAUUAAGCGGGGAAAAAUCUAUUACUUGGACUUGCAAUCAAAGGAUUCAAAUAAGUUGCGACAAGCCUUGAUGGCAGAUGGAUUUGAGGGGGAAAAGAAAAAGUUUGAAAUUUGGUUGUGGCAUCGACGUCUGGGACAUGCUUCCUCUGAUUAUUUAAAAAAAUUGUUUCCUAGUUUGUUUGCAAAUAGUGAUAUUUCUAGUUUCCGUUGUGAUAUUUGUGAAUUGGCUAAAAGCCAUCGUGCUCCGUUUCCGUUAAUUUUGAAUAAAAGUCUGUUUCCUUUUAUGGUUAUAUAUUCUGAUGUUUAGGGCCCAUCCAAAGUCCCAACUUUGAGUGGUUCGCGUUGGUUUGUUACUUUUAUUGAUGAUUGUACCAGAAUGACAUGGUUAUGCUUGAUGAAGACCAAAGAUGAAGUGAACUUGUUGUUUCAAAAAUUUCAUAAAAUGAUUGAAACUCAGUACAAUGCAAAGGUUCGGGUUCUGCGUAGCGAUAAUGGUGGAGAAUAUCAGAGUUCUGAUCUUCAAAAGUAUUUGGGAGGAUAUGGCAUCAUUCAUCAGACUACUUGUUCCAAUACACCCCAGCAAAAUGGAGUCGCUGAACGGAGAAAUCGAUACUUGUUAGAGGUUGUUUGUGCUUCCUUGAUAGUAGCAAAAAUACUGAUAUCUUAUUGGGGAGAAACAAUCACAUCUGCCGCAUACUUGAUCAAUCGGGUACCUUCCAGCUCAAUUAACUUCCAAACACCUCUCCAAGCUCUUACUAAUGUCAUAGUUGCCCCAACCGUCCCAAAUCUACCUCCUUGUGUUUUUGGUUGCGUGGCAUUUAUGCAUCUACACAAACACUAACACACCAAGUUAACUUCCUAUGCAUUGCAAUGUGUGUUUGUUGGAUAUGCCUUGCACAAAAAGGGAUAUCGAUGUUACCAUCCCUCCAACUCGAUGAUGUUUAUUAUAAUGGNNNNNNNNNNNNNNNNNNNNNNNNNNNNNNNNNNNNNNNNNNNNNNNNNNNNNNNNNNNNNNNNNNNNNNNNNNNNNNNNNNNNNNNNNNNNNNNNNNNNGAAUCUGGACAAUCUAAACUAGUGAACCAGGAAGCGGGUAAGUUGGAUAUGAGUGGCACAACUUUGGAAACCAAGUAGUAAUGACCACCCAGAAACUGAAGAAGUGAUAAAACAAAGAAAAGACAGUACAAUUGAACCAUCACCACCAUCUAAACAAUUUGGGUCCAAAGAUGUCUUCAUUGAAAUACCAAACCAAUCGUCGUCUGUUAAGGGUGUUCUUAAUUUGGAACCUGAUCCAUUCAUGAAAUGAUUACCACACCGUCAUAAUAGAGGUAUUCCUAAACCCACAUAUGAACUUGAAUUGUCUAACAAAGUCAAAUAUCCCAUGAGCAACUAUGUGUUUAACCAUCGUUUGUCUGAAUCAAAUAAGUCAUUUGUAAAUCAAUUAUCUACUGUAGCUAUUCCUAACAGUGUGCAGGAAGCCUUAGCUAAUCCAAGUUGGAAAGCAGCCAUGAAUGAAGAGAUGAAAUCAUUGCAGAAGAAUGAAACAUGGGAACUCGUAGAAUGUCCACUAGGAAAUAAGCCAGUUGGGUGUCGUUGGAUCUAUACUGUGAAGUACAAGGCAAAUGGUAGUAUUAAACGAUUUAAAGCAAGACUGGUAGCAAAAGAGUACACUCAAACUUAUGGAAUUGACUACAUAGAAACAUUUGCACCUGUAGCUAAGAUCAACACAGUUCGAGUAUUACUGUCUUUAGCUACAAACCUGGAUUGGCCAUUACAACAGUUUGAUGUGAAAAAUGUCUUUCUUCAUGGCGAGUUAUCUGAAGAAGUAUAUAUGGAUCUUCCACCAGGAUGCAUGGUGUUAGAAAAGCAAUGUCAGAAGGUGUGUAAAUUAAAAAUAAUAUAUAUUUUAUUUCAUUUUAUUUUUGGAAUUAAAGAAAAAAAUGAUAAAAAAUUUAUUUAACCGUAAAAAAUAUUAAUAUAAGAUAUGUUAUAAAAUAGAAAUAACCCCAAGUUUAUUUACUUAUUUCCUUUUAUUUAUUUAAACUAGAAAGAAAUUUAUUUUAAAAGAUCAAAAUGUGCACAAUUAAUCUAUUACUUUGUUAAUUAUGGAUAUAUUAAAAUUUUGUAUUACACAAAAAAAUAGAGAAAAUAAAAUUAAAAAGAGUAAUAAAUAUAUAUAAUUUAGUUAUUUAACUAUUUUUCAUGUAAAAGAUAGCCACACAAAAAAAAUACACAAUUGACCAAUUCCUUUGUUUAAUGGUAAGCAUACUAUAUAUAUUAUUAAAAUAACUAAUGGAAAAAAUAAAAAUAGAUAAUCAAUGAAUGAAAUUCAAUUCUUUUUAUUAUUUUCAUAUAAAAAAAAGUAUCAAACAAGGUUUUCAAUUUUAAUUUGAAAAAUAGUUUUCCUUUUUUAAUUAAACAUUUUUUCAAAAAGAAAAUAUAAAAAAUAAAAAUCACAUUAUCAUAUUUUUUUAGAUAGUAUUUUUUAAAAUAGUUUUUAAAUGUAAUUUUUCUUUUAUUUAUAAUUUAAAAUAUAAAAUAAUACUGAUUUUCAAUUAUUUAUAAAAAAAAAGUUUUGAAAAACAAUAAAAAAAUCCAAAUGAUUAAAAUAGAAUUAUUCUGAUUGUGUGAACAAUAGUGCAAUAAAGACUAAAAAAAUAUAUAUAAAAGGUCAAUAGAUAUUUUAGUACAUCAUUAUUUUAUAUCUUUAAAAUCAAUAAAAAGUUAUCCACGCAUCUUUGUUCAAAUUUGAGGUUCACCUCAAGAAAGGAUCAUAUAUUUUAGGCAAGUAUUCUUUUUUAGUUGCAUCAUUACACAAUCUAGUUCUUUUUUCUAGUACAUCCAGAGUAAGCGAUCCAUUGUCUAGAGCCUCAAUUCUAGUUAUAAACUCCUUUCUUAGUGUGUUUUCUCACCUCAAAUCACAAUGCUCCCUUAUUUUUCCUUUACGGAAUCCUUUUUCUCUCAAGCAAUCUAUUUGGAGUAGUUGGAUAAUUGACCAUUAAUGUUUUCUCCUUUUUGUGAUAUUAAAAGAAUUUCCUCUCAAGCAAUCUAAUUGGAGUAGUUGGAUAGUUGACCAUUAAUGUUUUCCCUUUUUUGUGUUAUUAAAAGAAGACAAAAAAACUUAUGGAGAAGUCAAAUACUUUUAAAUGAACUAUCAAAAAUCAUAUCAAUUUAAUAAUAUGACUUGGACCUCUAAAAUUGGUUUAUAAUAAUCACAAAUGAUUGCCACGUAGACUUAUUAUAUAAUAUGUCAAUUCAUCAAAUUAAUUACACAAAACACUUUGGAAUAAUGCAGAGUUCAGAAUUUAAAGCCAUUAGGCAGAAUAAAAUAAUUGUUAAAUAAUUUAUUUAUUAAAUUAUUUUACUAUAUUGAACAAAUAUUAAAUUCCAAGCUUCCUUUGUAAAAACUGAGGUGGCCUGCCUAACCAUGAAUCACAGAAAGGACGGCAAAACGUCAGGCCAUGUUGCGGUUUGGGCGGCGGAGAUUGGUUGAGAAGGGAGACUGAAAACGAGACCACCAAGUUAAACGUAGCCGCAACUACAAGCAGCUUUUGGGCCCUACGUCACAUGCUCUUGUAUUUUCCUUGGCUCUUAAUUGGGUGGGCCCAAUCUUCCCCUCUAUCAGCCCGGGCCGAGCCAUAUUUAAGGGUUAAAUAAGAAGGUUAGGGCCUCAUAGAACCAUGCUAUUUAAGUACUGUUAUAAAAGGCGUUAGACUCCCCAUCCAUGAUGACUCACAACUGGUUGGCUUGGUGAUAACCUUAAAAAUCAGCUAAUUUGUUUUUGACAUGUUAUUAGAUUUCAAUCAAUUUUCUAAAUUAAAUAUUGAUUAUUCAAAUUUAUUUGUCUUUUUAUAUCAUAGGAAGAAAUUGAAGAAGAAAAGAAAUAGAAAGAAUCCAAAUUAUCUGAUUUAACGUUGGGAAUUGUCCCAAAUUCCUAAUUAGUAAAGAUCUCUUUUUAUAAAGAAUAUUGUAUAUAAUAUUUUCUAAGUUAAUAUAUUAUUAUAAUAUUAGAUUUCCUUAUAGAAUAAAGAAAAUUGUUGGAAAUAUCUCUAUAAACAUUCUAGAUCAUGAGGGGAAAAAGUCAUGAGAUGAAGAUAGACUUGUAAAGACUAUACGUGAUGGAUAGAGAUGUGAGGAAGAAAGGGAGGUAUCCGAUGGAACGAGAAGACUCGUGGUAGGGUAUGGAUACAAGGAGUUGGGAAACAUGAGAUGUUUUGGGAACCCAAUAGUUUUAUCUGGUUUUGUCAUCUGUAAUAUUCUCUAUUGUAUAGUGGAAUAAUUCUUGCUCAUUCGUAGACGUAGGCAUGAUUGGCCAAACCACGUUAAAGCCUCAGGUAACGUGUGUGAUUGUUUUAUCUUUGUGUGUUCUUGAAUUAACCUUAUUUGCAUGAAAGAUUUCAUUGUCACAACAUUUAAUUUAUUAUGAAAAGUACAAAGAGAGAAAAAUAAAUUGAUGAAAAAUAAGGCUUCUGAGUUACCUUUUGAAAUGUCUAAGAAUUCUGAUUGGUUGUUACCUUUUAAAAUGCCCAAGAAUCCCCAUUAGUUGUUUCACUAACCAAUUUUCUCGCCUCAAAUCAUGAAUGGAAUUAUGAAUACAAGAACCAUUCUUUUCUCACAACAAAGAGUCUUAACCUCUCUUUUCAAGGAGAAAAAUAGGGAAAAUUUUGAGAAAGGGAAAAGAAAAAUAUAUUCUUUCUUUUGUAUCCAAGGAAAAAGAAAAAUAUAUCCAAGAAUUUGCAUGUGAAACCUCUGAUUCACAUUUUCUAAUUGCUUCAGACUGUCUGAGAAUGAAAACAUCAACUUUAUGGCAACUAAAUUAAGGGAAAUGCAAAGUCUAACAAAUAAAUUACCAAGAUUUCAAUUCCCAAUCCAGGUUUCUCUCAUUUCUCUCUUGAUCAUAUUGUAAAAGUAAAUCAAUUAAAUCCUAUGAAAUAAUUCUUAUACUCCUUUAAGCAUUACUCCUACAUUAUUUCCAUAUAACUUGACAAUGAUUUUCAUGACCCGGAUGGUGCUAUAUACUCCACAUAUUGAAUCCAGUACUUUUGUUCCUGGAAGUCAAAUUCCUGAGUGGUUCAGCCAACACAGUAUAGUGUCACGGACUUAGUCUUUUCCUGAGCUCGUGCAACACUUAGACAAGUCAAGACACUUGAUCUUGCUAAGUUAGCCUUACUCCCAAUGUUUAGUUUGCUAGGCUAAGAUGCACCCGACUUAGAAGCUUUAGAGGGCAUAGUAGGCAACACUUAAAGAAUGGAAGCUUUUAUUGCUCAAAUGAAGCUUUACAAGUGCUUUGGGAACUAACUUGCUUGGUUAGGAAGUGAUUUGGGUGGUUUUGGAUGGUGCCUUAGCCAAAUGAGGCCCUCACCUAUUUAUAGGCACCAAUGGAACUCUCUGGAACCUUGGAGGGUUCCUUACAAAUCAAGAAUAAUCUAGAAGCUCCUGCACUAGUCUAUGUACAAGGGUAUGUACAAAAUGAUUUUAGAAGAUUCUAGAAUACCUCCACUAUUCCAAUGCUCUCCUAGCCAAGUGCAGAGAUGUAUGGACAUCUCUAGCCCUCUUUAAAAGCUUCCAUACUCUUCCACUUUGUAGCUAAGUGUAGAUGUCUCCAAGGGUCUCUAGAAGCUUCCCACCUCCUAUAUAAGCCCAUGGGGAGGGUCAUUUGAAGCAUCUUGUGACACUUUUCCCCACCUAUGCCGUCGACGUCCCCAUUGUUGUCUCUUCUUGAAACUUCUCGAUGUGUUUCUAGAACCUUCUCAAGGCAUCUGCAUGUUCCCAGCUUACCUGCUUCUUAGGUAGUUCUUUCCAUCGGACUAGAUAGUCUAUCAAAGGAGAGACCCCUUGUCUCUUGGUAACCCGUUCAGCCAAGAAAUUUUUCACCUCCUUCUUCCGUGAGGCCUCGGAUGGAUGCAAACCCCUGCACUUUCGAUGCUUGGAGUGCUGCUUCCUCUUGCCCAUCGAGUUUACCUUUCCUUUGGUGACCUUGUCCAUGUGUGUGCGGCCUAUCUCAACUCACUCCUCUUUUGCCUCCUUUACUUGUACCCCUGAUAGUAAGAAGGUCUUAGGCGUACUAGGCUUUGGGUUGACUUGGAGGGCACCUAGUAACAUCAUCGAGCCCAUAUGUGCUUCGUCUUCCUAUUCCCCCUCCUCGAUCAUGGCAUUGAGCGCUUUCCUUUUUGGACAAUCUCGUGCCCAAUGUGGACCGUCACAUAGGAAGCAUUUGAUUUUAGGUGUAAACUCUUUCCUUUUCGCCUUACCCUUUCCUUCUCGGAUGUUAGGCAUCUUACCUGAUCCCAUUAUAGGAGCAUUGUGGUCCCUUGAAACCUCGUCUCCUCCACCCGUAGCGUGGCUAUCCUCCAAAGACUCAACUUGGGAGGAGUCUCCCCUCUUGUAAUCCAUUAAAGACUCUACUACUGCCAUAGCAGUGGCAAAGUCUUGAACGCCUCGGCGCCUUAAUUCUUGCUCGGCCCACCCUUCCAGGUUAUCCAUGAAGUUGAAUAGCAACUCCUCAUUAGUCAUAUUAGGCAUCUCAAGCAUGAGCAAAGAGAAUUCAUUGACAUAGUUGCGUAUUGAGCCUAUGUGCUUGAGACGCCUCAUGUUUUUCCUAGCCAGGUAAGCCACGUCCUCUAGGUAAAACUGCUUCUUGAUAUCUCUCUUGAAGUCUUCCCACGUCUCUAUGGUGCAAAUGUCUUUCUCCAUAUCGGCGAACCUCCGUUACCACCAUAGAGUAGUUGUAUCAGUAAGGUGGAAGGUUGCAGUCCUUACCUUAGCCACCUCAUUAGUUAGUGUGAUAGCCUUGAAGUAUCGCUCCAUAUGCCAUAAGAAGUUGUUCAACUCCUUGGAAUCCCGCUUACCACUAAACCCUUGUGGCUUCGGCAUCUCCACCCUAGAUGCCUCCUGUGUGGCCAUGACCCGUGCCAACAUAGCAACCUUGUAGAUGACCAAAUCCUACCUAACCUCCUAGUCUCGGGACUCCAUUUAAGUGGCCAAGGUCUCUAUCCUUGACUCUAUGCUAGCAAGCAUGCUUAAGACCUUUUCUUGGAAAGAUAUAAACUCCUCGUGCGACACUGGCUGAAAUUGUGAGACUAGCAUCCCCUCAAGAAGGUCUUGGAUCUGCUCCCUUAGAUCCUUUAAGCCCUUCUCCAUGCUUUGCUCCAUCAAGUCCACCUCUUCUCGAGUGUCUACCAUGGCUAGCUCCACCUUGGCUAGCCUUGCCUCCAUGUUGGCUAUGGCAUCAAGAGAUUUAUCCUUUUUGCCCAUGCCCCGUGUAGUAGGCUCAGUCUCCCUCCCACGAGUUUGCUCGCUAGCGUCCUCAAUGUUGGACCCCAACAUGCUUCCUUUACGGUGCCCGCUUCAUAGCCGUGCUCUGAUACCAACUGUCACAGACUUAGUCUUUUCCUAAGCUUGUGCGACACUUAGACAAGUCAAGACACUUAAUCUUGCUAAGUCAGCCUUACUCCCAAUGCUUAGCUUGCUAGGCUAAGAUGCACCCGACUUAGAAGCUUUAGAGGGCGUAGUAGGAAACACUUAAAGGCUGGAUGCUUUCACUACUCAAAGGAAGCUUUACAAGUGCUUUGGGAACUCACUUGCUUGGUUAGGAAUUGAUUUGGGUGGUGCCUUGGCCAAAUGAGGCCCUCGCCUAUUUAUAGGCACCAGUGGAACUCUCUGGAACAUUGGAGGGUUCCUUACAAAUCAAGAAUAAUCUAGAAGCUCCUACACUAGUCUAUGUACAAGGGUAUGUACAAGAUGACUUUGGAAGAUUCUAGAAUACCCCCACACUAUUCCAAUGCUCUCCUAGCCAAGUGUAGAGAUGUGUGGACAUCUCUAGCCCUCUCUAGAAGCUUCCAUACUCUUCCACUUUGUAGCUAAGUAUAAAUGUCUCCAGGGGUCUCUAGAAGCUUCCCACCUUCUAUAUAAGCCCAUGGGGAGGGUCAUUUGAAGCAUCUCGUGACACUAGGCUCCACAACAAUAGUACAUCUACCUCCAAAUUGGUGUAAUACUAGGUUGGUGAGAUUGGUUGGGUGCGCUAUUUUUAUUGUUAAGGGUGUUUUCCAUGAUUGCCCUGGUAAUAUAUUUUGUCAUUUGAAUUUGACUCAAGGUAAAACUGUUCACCUUUUUGCUCCCAUCAAUCUAGAACACCAGAAUUCUUCGGAUGAAGGACAUAGAUUCAUUAAAUCAGAUCACAUGUGGCUUGGGUAUCAACCAAUUUCUCGAAUUGGGAUUGGCCACGCCAAUUGGCUAAAUAAACUGAGUCAAAUUUAGGCUUCAUUUCAAGUCUAUGGCCCAUCUUAUGAGGUGAAGAAGUGUGGGGUUCAUCCACUAUAAGAACAAGAUGAGAAAGAAGGCAAUCAACCAGAAUUUCAGUGCAACACUACGGAUGAGAAUUCAAGUAUCUUCACUAUUAAAGAUUAUGGUGAGCUUACACAUUUUCUCUUUACAAUGCUGAUAUAAUGAAGCAAACCACUUCUACAUUGAGAGGAUGCAUCAGCACAAGAUGCUCAAACUUGAAAGAUGGAGAUGAAAACUAUCAUAUUGUUAUUGUCUUACUGGUUUCUCUUUUGCAUGGUUUUUCUUUUGCAUUUGAUGCUUUUGGGGGUUAGAACUCGUAAGAAUCUAGCUGAGAAUUUAGUCAUCUAUUGCACAGUAGUUGAUUCCCAAAUUGAACCAUUUUAUUUGAGCCUAUAUUUUCUUUUUAUGCUUCUUGUUCUUCAUAUUUUUUCAUAGGUUUUUCCUUUUAAUAGUAGUCAUGGAUUGCUUGAGCAAUAUUCUGUUCAAGGUUGUUAGCUAGCUUGGUAGAGCUAAAGAGAGCGUCCCGAUGAUCCUCUUAUAUCUGUGCUUAGUCUUCACUUAAUUUUGGCCAUGGAUGUGAUUGAUGUGACUAAUGUUUUAAGAUUUGGUUAACUAAAAAUGAUCUACAUGUUGGCAAUUUUGUGAAAGUGUAUUUUGAGUAGUUACAAUAUUUAUCAUUUUUAGUUCAUAUAAGUGGUACAUCCAAUCCAAUCCAAUCCAAGUUGUUAAAGACCCUUUCAACAACUCAAGGAGAAAAUAAAGAUCAAAGCCUCUCCAAGGAACCCUGAGGGUGAGCCAAUGCUCUUAUUUUUCUUUAGAUAUGCUUUGAGAGGUUUUCAUAAUCUUCAAAUUGGAGAAGGCCUCUAUGGAUGAAAGGCUAGUUGGUUGAUUUGAAGUUAUUCUUCAAUUUGUCUAAGCCUAGUUGCGUUGGCCGAAAGUGCAAAUUCUGUAAUUUGAGUUUUCCUCAUUGAAAGUUAGUUGAUCUAGUUUAGGUAACAUCUAGAAGGGGUGAAUAGGUGUUUGAACCUCUUACGCUCAAAAAUUAAAUUUUUUGAAAAAUUAAUUUGUUUGAUUUAGGAAAGCCUAAAAAUAUUCAAUACAAGAAUGUAAGAUUUUUUACAUGGAAAACCGCUUAUACAACAUGCGGAUGUAAAAUCCAUGGGGUCAGAAACAUCUAAUUACAAAUCCACUAUUCAAAAGUAUAGUGCACAGUUUUAUCUAGUCGAACCCAUCCCUAAGUCUUACUCCCUAUCACCUCUACUAUACUUCACAUUUGUAGUACAACACUGCUUGUGCUCCUAGUGAAUCAUACUUUAGUGUUUGUGGAGAUGUGAAUCUCUUUCUCAACCUAGUAAAACUGAAGACAAUCAUUUUUCAAAGUUUUGGGAACAAGAAGGCAAAUUAGGUUUUUUUGAAAUAUUUGCAUCAAAAAGAGAAAAUCCUCUUUAGACAAGGUAUUUAUAGGGCCAAGAUCCUAGUGGAUCGGAUUUAGAAUUUUCCUAAAAUAAAGCUUUUAAAAUUUGGAAAAUCAAAGCUUUAGAAUUGUAGAGAAUUCUAUCACACUUGAGUGCUUUAGGGAGAGCUUAAGUGCUCUCCAUAGCACUAGAAUUCUCUAGGAGGUUUUUAAAACUAUUUUAAAAAAACAUUUAACUCAGUUUAAGAACUUGACAUUCACACCAACCUUCAUUAACUCUAAUUUGUCUUUCUUAGACCUUUCUAUACUUACCUUUGUUAUUCUAGUUGAUCACACGACAACUUCGAGUUUUCAAAGGAGAGUGAGAUAUAAUCUAAAAACUCCCUAAGUUAAAAUGAUUGAAACAAAAUUAUCAAUCUUGAACUAUAUAAAUUAAUGUACCAAUACUCACAAAUAAGAAACCUUGGGUUCAUUUAGCAAGAGGGAUUUUCUAUCAAGCAUGUUGGGUUUGCUUCAAAAAUGACUUAUUAUGAUAUGAGAAUCAUACCAAAAUGCUUCAAAGUAUAACAAAUACUAUGGUCCCAAUCACAAUAUGGUGGAAUAAGAAAAUAUAUGACUAGUGAAGUGAUUAUUUAUUUAAGAAAAUUUUAAGGUUAGGUUGUUAUGAUAUCCUAGGAUUUUAAAUUAAUUAUGCCCACCUUUUUAUAGUUGAAAUAUUAAAAAAAUGUUUUUUUUAAUUUUGAUUUAUUAUAAAAAAAUAUGAAAGAAAAAUAUAAUUAAAAUUAGUUAAAAAGUUAUAUAUAUAUAUAUAUAUAUAUAUAUAUAUAUUGAAUUUUUAUAUAGAAUAGAAAAAAAAAAUCAAAUGAAUUAAACAAAACAUAAAUUUCUUUUCAUUCUUUUCCCAACCUCAGACUCUUUUGCCAUUCUUAGACAUACAUGCAUCUUUGAUGAUGGAAGUACAAAAACAAUUUAUUUCAUGCAUGAACCACAAAUGUAGAGAUAGCUUCCCCAACUUUUUAGAUGAGAUUAUAACUAUAAAGGUCCUUGUUCAUUUUACAACAAAUAAUUAAAUCCAUUGGAUAAAGAAGAAUAACAUAAAUAAAAUGAAGAUAGUGAAAUUAAUGAUCAUCUUAUAUAAUGUUUGUUGAGAUGUUUAUUUGGUAUUACUCAUAAAAAUGUAGAUUAAAGGCAUUAUUAUACAAAUAUUAUUUGAUCUAGUUAAAAUAAAAAUGAACUUUCAAAAACACAAAAAGAAAAUGAAGAUAUUAAGAAUAUUUUUUAAAUGGUAAAUGAUUUGUUCAAUUAGAGGUUGGAUUUUAUAUUAAAACAAAAAAGAGUAAAAUUUUUGUUUUGAUCAUUAUACUUGUUCAUAGUAAUUCAGUCAUUUACUUGAUUAAAUACUUAAAUAUUGUUGGAGUUGGGUGGGCACCCAAGUUGGUGUGACCUAACCUGAUCUAACCAAAUAAGAGAUAAGAGUGGAACAUUUCUGGGAGUUGAAACUACUAGAAAUUACCCAAAAAUCGCCCCAAUAAACUUUUCUCUAGAAAAGAAAGAUUGAGAGAACUCUAGAAGAAAAGUUCUUUGAAAAAGAAGGUGAAAGACUGUGUGUUGUGGAACAGAGUGAUUCUCAAUUUUAGUGUGGUUUCAUUCAUGACUUGGGGUAAAGAAUUAAAUGGUGAAACAAUUGAUUGUUUUUUUUUUUCCCCGAUCUUGGGUAUUCCAAAAAGUAAUCCAAAUUUUUCCUACAAAUAUUACCUUUGAAAUUUAGGAACACUUCUCAACUGAGCAAAUGUUCAACUACUUAAUAUUAACUUAUUUUCUUUCAACCCUAUUAAAAGUGAUUUUUCUAAUAUUAGUUCAUAUGCAUUUAGUUGAAACAUGAUAUUUCUUUGUAUAUCAAUAUAAAACUAACUAAAAUAUAAGUCAUUAAGCUCAUAUUUGGUACAUUGGAAUGGGGAAUGAGAAUGAAUAGAUAUUUUUGGUAACCAUUUUUAAAAAAAAUUUCCUAUUCUCUAAAAAAAAAAAAACAGGAAACCAUGUUUGACAAUCAAAAAAUAGAAAAUAGUUUUUUGCUUUUAAAAACUAUUAAUAUGAUGUCUUCAGAUAGCAUUUUUAAAAUUAUUUUAAGUUGUUUUUUGGCUAUUUUAAAAAAUAAUUAUACAAAUAUGGGGAAUGAUAAAAAAAUAAAGCACUACAAAUAAACAUAUGUAAAAACAUAUAAAGUGGGUUAAAAACAUUUCAAGUUCCUAAAUAGACAUUUUUUUACAAGAUAUUGAACAAUUUUUAAAAAAAAUUCUCGAAAAUUAUUUUUCAAAAUUAUUUUUAAAGGCAAUUACCAAACAUGACCUUUAUUUCGAUGCCUAUUUUUCCUUGAUUAGUAAUAAAUAUGUCAAUUCCAAUUCUUAUGUUUGAAAGCACUACAGAGUGUAAAGUCGGAAUGAAUGUUUGUUUCCAUUUCAAUUUUAGGUAAUAAUGAGAAUGAGAAUGGAAAAUAAAAUUGAUAAUAAUAACUAUACACAUAACUUCAAAUAAUUUUUUAUUUUUAUUUAAAAAAAAAAAAUCUUUGAGAGUUUCUUUACUGAAUAAUAAAAGUUGGUUUGAUCAUAUAGCCACCUAAAGCAAUUCCUACUAUUUGGGCACAAUGUUAUUAUUAAUAAGUCAAAGUAAAAUGUUUGUUUAUAAUUUUUUUAAAAUAUAAUUUAAGUAUGCAAAGUAUAUUAUUUAGUUUUAUCUUUAAAUGGAAAGUGCCUAAUUUUUUGAAGAAAGCGAAUUUAAUUAUUGAAUUAAAUGAACUCCUACUUAUCAAUUUUUUUUAUAAAGAUGCGAUAGCUCCUAGGAUUUAACUUUGUACUAUACUUGAUCCUCCUUAGUGAACUAUUUUUCCUAACUGAGUUUUAAGUUCACUCUUCUCUAUUAUUUCACUUUUUAGGUACAAGUGAUAUUAAUGAGGAGAAAUCAAGUUAAGAAGGGUGUUUCUUUUGAAAUCUUCUUUACAAUUAAUUAUUUAGGAGUUUUAAAUUAAGAUUGAACUUAGUAUUGAUUUCUAAAACUCUUUGAAUUCUUUGGGAUGAUCUUUGAAUUUAUUAUUUAGAUAUUUUUAAUUAGUUUUGGGUUAGAUUUUUUAUUUAUUUAUGCUCUAAUCAUUAUUAUGAAUCAAUUUAAGGAAGUUGUCAACUAAUUACUUGUUGGAUUUGUUAGUUAAGGUCAUUCACAUGUUGGACUCUUGGGUUUGACAAGUCAAAUGACCAUGGUGUCUUUGAUCUUCAAGUGUCACAAUUAAAAACUAAACUAUUUUCAUUUUCAAGUAAAGUUCCUUGUUAAGGUAAAAAUAUACAUUCAAAAUAAUUUAACCAAAUAUUGAAUAAAUAUGUAUCAUACGGAGAAAAAAUUUAUAUUAAAGCUCCACAAAUAGUAGGAAAUUUAUUCCAAAAUUUUAAAAGAAAAUGUGAGAAAAAAGUGAAAAAAGUCUAAAUUAACUUGAUCAAAUUUUUACACAUCUUAAAAUUUAUUCAUCAUUUUUUUUGUUUAUAAAUAAUUUAAAAAUAUAUAAAUCUUUCCAUAAUUUAUUUAUAUAAUGAUUUUUCUUUGUAUAUGAUACAAUAAACCAAACAAGGAAGUUUGAAUUAUUUCUUAUUUUACUUUUUUUUAGAUGGUUUGUGUAAGCCAACUAAAACCAUUUUAAUCAAGAUAUACAUAUCAUACGAACAAAUAAAUUAUAGAUUGCAUUUGUUUUGAAAAACAUUUUUUUUAAUCUAUAAUUAUUUAUUAUUAUUAUUAUUAUUAUUAUUAUCAUUAUUAUUAUUAUUAUUAUUAUUAUUAAAUUGCUUUUUGUUGAGAAAAAAGAUACUAUGACUCCCAAUUGAUGUUUUAAGUGAUUCACAACAUACAAGGGGUUGGUAUUCUAUUUUCAACUAUUCACAAAAUAUAUUUUUGUGUUUUUUUUAUGGAAAAUUCUGAAAUACCAACUUAGCUUAUCGUCAUGUCUUUUAUAAUCUCAAUUCUCAAAGUUUUAAAAAAAUUGGGAAACAACUUUGUCCCAUCCAGACCAAAAUAAUAAUCAUGUUUGCCCCCCAACUGCCGAAAUCAUCGGUUCAGCACUAUUGAUUGUCUUAAGUAACACGAUAACAAGUGAGAAUAAUAAUAAGGGUUUGCUAAAUAAUAUUUACAAAAAUAAUUUUAAAAUAAUUCUUAAAAGGAGUUGUCUAUGAAAAACAGUUUAUACGCGAGGCCAAAAUAACGUGUGAAAGAAUAUUUUAAAUUUAUUCUAAAAUAACGUGGAAGUAACCUAUAAGAAUUUUUCACAAUUGUUAGCUUUCUUCACGCAUUUGGUUUAUUUUAAUUUGGUAAUUGAUCAAAUAUCAUUAUUGUAUAUAGUGGUCCUGCUCAUUGAAGUGGUCAAAGAACAUUAAAAGCCAAUACACAUUCAAAUCACUUUCUCUUAUAUUGAAACGUGGAGAGGAAGAAUGGUAUCCCGACAGAAUUAUCAUGACUAUAUAAUGAAUCAUAUAUAUGAAAGAAACACAUCAAAAGGAGUAAGAAAAUUGAAGGAGUUCUGUUUAGGAAAAGAGAAGAGGCUUUUAUUCCAAAGAAGAUGUGGCUGAUCAUGAAGGUUUUCCUCUUACAAAUUUUAGUGUUUCAACUUUUUGGUGGUGGCAUCCAUUGCCAAGCUUCAACCCGUCGGCAAACUUUUGUGGUAAAUACUACAUAUGAUUAUGGCCUUAACGUCACCUUUUGAUUAUAAUAUUUCGGGAGCAGUAUGACUCUCAUUUUCCACAUUAGGACCCUUUACUCUAGUGUCGUUGAGUCGUUCAUGCAUGCUAUCAAAUUUUAAGUGGUUAUACACUUGCAUGAAUGGAUUGAUGCAACUAUUCAUGCAUGUAAUAUUUCUUUUGGGAUGAGGUUGCAUGGUUAACUUUUAAUUGGUUGCAGGUGAGGGAAGCUUCAUAUACAAGGCUUUGUAGCACCAAGAAAAUGUUAACAGUAAAUGGACAAUUUCCGGGACCAACUAUAUAUGCUACGAAAGGAGAGACGAUCAUUGUCGACGUUUAUAACAGGGGAAAAGAAAACGUCACCAUUCACUGGUAGGUCUUGAGUGUGUCUCAGAGAAAGAGCGUCGAAAACAUGCCUACAUGGCAUACAUUCUUUUAUUUCUAAGAGGGGGUUGCAAUAUAUUGCUUUGCAAAUAAAGUCAAAUUUAAAACAAUACUUUAGGGUUAUUUGCUUUAGUUCCAUUGAAAUACAGUAGAUGUUGCUUGUUACUAUGAUAAUAUGUUGCUACAUGCUAUCUUUUGUUAGUUCAAAAAUAAGUACUAGUUUUAACGUAUAGUUAUUGUUUUGUAGGCAUGGGGUGAACAUGCCUAGAUAUCCAUGGACAGAUGGUCCUGAGUAUAUCACACAAUGCCCAAUUUAGCCCGGGUCAAAGUUUAGUCAGAAGAUCAUCCUUUCCUCUGAGGAAGGCACUUUAUGGUGGCAUGCUCACAGCGACUGGACCCGAGCCACCGUUCAUGGAGCUAUAAUCGUCUAUCCCAAGAAUGGAACCAAGUAUCUUUUUCACAAACCUAAUGCAGAAGUUCUCAUCAUAUUAGGUAUAAGUGUUGUUACUUUUAAAUGUUAAUUUACAUAUUAUGAAUUAAUCAGCAUAGCAAAAUCUAAAAUUAUUGGAGUUGUUGAAAUGCAGGACAAUGGUGGAAGAUUGAUGUGAAUGCGAUUCGAGAUAAAGGGCUUGCAAGCGGAGCUGAUGCCAACGCCUCUGAUUCUUUAUUGAUAAAUGGACAACCCGGUGAUCUACUUCCAUGCUCAAAAUCAAGUACAAAUUAAGUUUAACUUCCCAUUUUAAAAUUGUACACAGUUUCAUUUUCUUGUAUGUUGACCAUAAUACUUUUUCUUAUUAACAUCGACAUAUCUAAAGCUUAAUGCUAAGAAAGAGGAAUAUAGUUACGAGAAUGGUAGAGCCAUGAUUUAACACAUGAGAAAAGGCUAGUUCAAAUAUAAUUUUGAAAUAUGGAGCCAAAUUUACACCCCUAAUCAAUCAAUCACUUCAUAAUUGGUGGAUCCUCAUGGAAACUUUUUCUUUUUCUUUUGGUUAGUCAUAAGUAUACAACUUUCCCUUUCUAAUUGCAGGCACAUUCAAGCUAACAGUGGAUCAUGAAAAGACCUAUCUACUUCGCAUAAUCAAUGCUGCCUUGCAUGAGCCUCUCUUCUUCUCCAUUGCCAAGCAUAAAAUGAUAGUGGUUGGAACAGAUGGUAGCUACACGAAACCAUUGACACGAGAUUAUAUCACAAUAUUUCCUGGCCAAACCUUCGAUGUCUUACUAGAAGCUAACCAACGCCCGGAUCACUAUUACAUGGCGGCUAAAACUUAUUC
rnacentral:lncRNA from 1 species